rnacentral:rRNA from 1 species
GUGCCAGCCGCCGCGGUAAUACAGAGGUCCCGAGCGUUGUUCGGAUUCACUGGGCGUAAAGGGUGCGUAGGUGGUCGGGUAAGUCCGAGGUGAAAUCUCCAAGCUUAACUUGGAAACUGCCUUGGAUACUAUUCGGCUGGAGGGUUGGAGGGGGGACUGGAAUACUUGGUGUAGCAGUGAAAUGCGUAGAUAUCAAGUGGAACACCAGUGGCGAAGGCGAGUCCCUGGACAACUCCUGACACUGAGGCACGAAAGCUAGGGGAGCAAACAGGAUUAGAUACCCGAGUAGUCC